rnacentral:rRNA from 1 species
UACGUAGGGUGCAAGCGUUGUCCGGAAUUAUUGGGCGUAAAGAGCUCGUAGGCGGUUUGUCGCGUCUGCUGUGAAAACUCGGGGCUUAACCCUGGGCCUGCAGUGGGUACUGGCGGACUAGAGUGCGGUAGGGGAGAGUGGAAUUCCUGGUGUAGCGGUGAAAUGCGCAGAUAUCAGGAGGAACACCGGUGGCGAAGGCGGGUCUCUGGGCCGUAACUGACGCUGAGGAGCGAAAGCGUGGGGAGCGAACAGG